CCCUUAGAUGUUCUGGGCGGCCCGCGCACUACAUUGGCACUCUCAAUAAGUUCCUAGAUCUAAAACUUUGGGGUAUUCUAUUAAGUGGCGUCGUGACUGGGAUUAACCCUUGCAAUUAUUGGUUACGAACGAGGAAUUCCUUGUAAUCGCGGUUUAUCAGCCCGCGUUGAAUGCGUCCCUGCCCUUUGUACACACCGCCCGUCGCUCCUACCGAUGAAUCGUCCGGUGAAGUUCAUGGAGUGGUGGUUGUUCCAGCUGCUGUCGAAGUGAAAUGGACCUCACGAUUUAGAGGAAGGAGAAGUCGUAACA
rnacentral:rRNA from 1 species